rnacentral:rRNA from 1 species
GUGGGGAAUCUUCCGCAAUGGACGAAAGUCUGACGGAGCAACGCCGCGUGAGUGAAGAAGGUUUUCGGAUCGUAAAGCUCUUUCGUUAGGGACGAACGUGCUCUUUGUGAAUAAUGAGGAGUAAUGACGGUACCUAAAUAAGAAGCCACGGCUAACUACGUGCCAGCAGCCGCGGUAAUACGUAGGUGGCAAGCGUUGUCCGGAAUUAUUGGGCGUAAAGCGCGCGCAGGCGGGAUAUCAAGUCUGUCUUAAAAGUGCGAGGCUCAACCUCGUGAGGGGACAGAAACUGGGAUUCUUGAGUGUCGGAGAGGAAAGUGGAAUUCCAAGUGUAGCGGUGAAAUGCGUAGAGAUUUGGAAGAACACCAGUGGCGAAGGCGACUUUCUGGACGAUGUCUGACGCUGAGGCGCGAAAGCUAGGGGAGCGAACGGGAUUAGAAACCCGUGUAGUCC